rnacentral:rRNA from 1 species
CGAAUGCUGACAUAAGUAACGAUAAAGCGGGUGAAAAGCCCGCUCGCCGGAAGACCAAGGGUUCCUGUCCAACGUUAAUCGGGGCAGGGUGAGUCGACCCCUAAGGCGAGGCCGAAAGGCGUAGUCGAUGGGAAACAGGUUAAUAUUCCUGUACUUGGUGUUACUGCGAAGGGGGGACGGAGAAGGCUAUGUUGGCCGGGCGACGGUUGUCCCGGUUUAAGCGUGUAGGCUGGUUUUCCAGGCAAAUCCGGAAAAUCAAGGCUGAGGCGUGAUGACGAGGCACUACGGUGCUGAAGCAACAAAUGCCCUGCUUCCAGGAAAAGCCUCUAAGCAUCAGGUAACAUCAAAUCGUACCCCAAACCGACACAGGUGGUCAGGUAGAGAAUACCAAGGCGCUUGAGAGAACUCGGGUGAAGGAACUAGGCAAAAUGGUGCCGUAACUUCGGGAGAAGGCACGCUGAUAUGUAGGUGAAGUCCCUCGCGGAUGGAGCUGAAAUCAGUCGAAGAUACCAGCUGGCUGCAACUGUUUAUUAAAAACACAGCACUGUGCAAACACGAAAGUGGACGUAUACGGUGUGACGCCUGCCCGGUGCCGGAAGGUUAAUUGAUGGGGUCAGCGCAAGCGAAGCUCUUGAUCGAAGCCCCGGUAAACGGCGGCCGUAACUAUAACGGUCCUAAGGUAGCGAAAUUCCUUGUCGGGUAAGUUCCGACCUGCACGAAUGGCGUAAUGAUGGCCAGGCUGUCUCCACCCGAGACUCAGUGAAAUUGAACUCGCUGUGAAGAUGCAGUGUACCCGCGGCAAGACGGAAAGACCCCGUGAACCUUUACUAUAGCUUGACACUGAACAUUGAGCCUUGAUGUGUAGGAUAGGUGGGAGGCUUUGAAGUGUGGACGCCAGUCUGCAUGGAGCCGACCUUGAAAUACCACCCUUUAAUGUUUGAUGUUCUAACGUUGACCCGUGAUCCGGGUUGCGGACAGUGUCUGGUGGGUAGUUUGACUGGGGCGGUCUCCUCCUAAAGAGUAACGGAGGAGCACGAAGGUUGGCUAAUCCUGGUCGGACAUCAGGAGGUUAGUGCAAUGGCAUAAGCCAGCUUGACUGCGAGCGUGACGGCGCGAGCAGGUGCGAAAGCAGGUCAUAGUGAUCCGGUGGUUCUGAAUGGAAGGGCCAUCGCUCAACGGAUAAAAGGUACUCCGGGGAUAACAGGCUGAUACCGCCCAAGAGUUCAUAUCGACGGCGGUGUUUGGCACCUCGAUGUCGGCUCAUCACAUCCUGGGGCUGAAGUAGGUCCCAAGGGUAUGGCUGUUCGCCAUUUAAAGUGGUACGCGAGCUGGGUUUAGAACGUCGUGAGACAGUUCGGUCCCUAUCUGCCGUGGGCGCUGGAGAAUUGAGGGGGGCUGCUCCUAGUACGAGAGGACCGGAGUGGACGCAUCACUGGUGUUCGGGUUGUCAUGCCAAUGGCACUGCCCGGUAGCUAAAUGCGGAAGAGAUAAGUGCUGAAAGCAUCUAAGCACGAAACUUGCCCCGAGAUGAGUUCUCCCUGACUCCUUGAGAGUCCUGAAGGAACGUUGAAGACGACGACGUUGAUAGGCCGGGUGUGUAAGCGCAGCGAUGCGUUGAGCUAACCGGUACUAAUGAACCGUGAG